GGAUGAUGGAAUGGCUAAGGGGUUCUUCUCCACAUAUGAAAUAUAUGCAACGUAAAUCAAUUUCCAGUUAUCAAUUUAAUAAGUUAUGAAUCUCAACAUGAUCGGAUCAUUUUUAUAUAUAUUUUUACUUCGAAUUCACUCGUCUUUUAUUAGUUAGUUCCUUAUAUUUUUGAGCUAUUUACGUUAUUUUUGUGUUUAUAGGAUUUGUUAUGCAAAGAAAAUAAAAAUGGCACAAAUGAGUUUUAAAUAUUAAAUUCGUCGAAAAUUGCUUUAGUCGUUCUCAUUCUGUCAUGGGUUAUUGGUAGAAUUAUGUCACGGAUUAUAGGUCAUGGAAGUUAGGCUAAAUUUGUUAGGUAUGCAUUAGAAAUUAUAUGGCGUGACAUCUUCCAUACCCACUGAUGAUAUACUUCCAUAUCCACUGAAUUCAGGUUGGUGCAUCACAUUUAUAUAUAUAUAUAUGAUAUAUCUAAAGGCUGUUUGUGGGUGGAACAAAAGAAAACAAAAGAAAUAUAUUAAACUGGGCUCGGCAGCUAGUAAGUGUGGUAGGUGGAAGAAGAAUAAAAGAAAAGUAUGAGUGUGGUGGGUGAGGAACUUAGAAAAUCAGAAAAUAAAGGAAUAAGGGCAGCGCCACAGAGCAGGGAAAAGAGAGUUCAAAAGGGCUGCCUUUGCAGCUGGGGGUGAAACCGAAGAGGAAACCGAGAGCUCUUGCUGCUCUUGGCAGCGUGAAACAAGGAAGAGGUCAGAGAGCUGCCCCGUGGCAGCUGUAGAAGAAAACAAUGCUGCUUUUGCAGCAAAUCUGAGAGAGCACGGGGACAGAGCAGAAGGAACCAAAGGCUUUGCUGCCUUUGCAGCGAGAAAGGCCUCAGACAGAGCAAAACUCCCUUAUCUUCGGGUUAAAUCUUUCCAAACUUAUAUUUUAUUUCUGUUUUAAUAAUGUGUAACUAAAUUUAUUUUGGCUAGAGGUUAAUUCAAAGCCAUGAAUAUGUUUGUAAUAUGAAGUGAUUACCUUCAGUUGUGAUUUCUGAGUUGUGAUUUAAUUUGCUUAACUGCUUGAUUGAUAACUUAUUUUUGUAUGUCGAUUAAGAAUGCAUACUUAAUUUACAUGCAUGAAUUUGAUGCUAGAAUAUAAGUGAAUUUCACCUAAUCGUUAUAAACUUAUAUUCACAAGUAGUGAAGGUUGCUAGUCACAAUCACGUUAAGUAAAUUCUUGGCAAGAGUAACAUGCGUAUCCCAUAGUUAUGAAUGCCUCGUCAAUGCUUAUGAUUUUCAUUAACCUUAAUGAUCUUUGAUAUGUGUCUCUAUCAUGCGUAUUCCAUAGUUAGGGUCCUUGAUAAGAAUGAUUUGGUUGUAAUGCGUAUCCCAUUCAAUUCAAUGAAUCUAGGGAAAUCUGAGAAUUAAUUGGUCGAUCUAGUUAAUUUGGGGCAUUGAGAUUUACAAUUUAUUGAAAGAACAACUGAAAAUCAAUUUAGGUUGCAUAUGUGUCAUGUGUGGAGAAGAACCCUCUAGCUAGUCUGUCACCUAUCAUUUCACCUUAAUUCAUGCUUUUGUCAAUUCUGUAAUUUAUUUAAGUUUAAUUUACUUCUCGUCAAAACCAAACCCCCCAUUAUUAAAUUUAUAUUAUUUAGUUAGUUUUCAUUGUUGUUAGUCUUUUAAUUCAAUUUCUGUCCAUUUCAGUUCCUAGUGUCUAAUUUGAUUGUUUUCAUUAUUUUGAGUCAUCCUAAGUGUGUUUCGAGUUAUUAGAGUUUUUAGCCUAGUUUUGUGUCCUUGAGUCUUGUUUAAUAUUUUUAAAUUAAUUUAGAAUAGAUUUGCAAUCCCUCCUAAUCCCCGGCCUAGAACGAUACCCUACUUACAUCUAUACUACAAUUGUCAAAAAGAGGGUUUAAUUUGUGUGCUUAUAUAAAUCGCAUCACAACACUCCAAGUUAAUUAGGUCCGCUUAAAUUAACCUUCAGAUUUCCCUAGGAUCAUUGAAUUGGGAAUAUGCAUCGCAAACAAAUUAUUCCUAACAAGUUCUUUAUAUGAACAGCAUGAUAAAGACACAAGUUAGAAUCAUUACGUUCUUUGGAAAUCAUAAGCAUCGACAAGGCAUUCAUAACUAUGAAAAGCAUGAUACUCUUGCCAGGAAUCUACUUAACACGAUCGUGACUAGCGACCUUCACUACUUACG
rnacentral:lncRNA from 1 species